GAGGGUGUAGCUCAGUGGUAGAGUGUGUGCUUAGCAUGCAUGAGGUCCUGGGUUUGAUCCUCAGUACCUCCA
rnacentral:tRNA from 1 species